GGUCAAUGAUGUGUUGGCAUGUAUUAUCUGAAUUGUUUAUUGAUGUGUAAUAACACAUUAGCUCUAGAAUUACGCUGAGACCUU